UCCGUUAUUUCCUGCUUGAUCUUGGCCUCCAUACUCAGGGGCAGCAGGGCCUCGAUGAUGCUGUCUUGCUCCAGCUGCGUCUUCAUCUCAGCCUGGCUAGGCAGCUCCACCCGGGGCUGCUGCAGGAAGAGCUGCGCAGCAGUGUCUGGCUGGGCGCCAGCCUGGGCCUGCAGCAGGAGCUGGAGCCCCCUGCUUGCUGACUCCUCUUCCUGGACUGAAUAAGGAAGACCACAGAGCACCUUACAUGUUACACCGAUCCCGAGGGUAUCUCAGAGAAGCACUGAAACCUGGAUUCUUCUCUGGAAAUAGAUAACGGAAUGACCUGCAAGGCAGCUGAGCUCAUCAUCCUCUCGCGCUGAAAGAAAGAAGUGCCAAGUACGUAAUGAAAUACUGUCAAGUGAAAUGGGAUGCCUGGGAUUUGUUUUGCAACCAUCUGGGAUGGGGGAAGGGUGUGUGAGAGGGUCACAACACUGUGCUCUCUACUUGUGCAUAUAUUUGAAAUGUUCCUGAUGUUUAAAAGAGAGACACCUCUAAUUACAAAUGGCUAAUGAGAGCGGA